GAUCGCAAGACCUCGCGCGAUUGGAGCGGCCGAUAUCAGAUUAGGUAGUUGGUGAGGUAAAGGCUCACCAAGCCGACGAUCUGUAGCUGGUCUGAGAGGACGACCAGCCACACUGGGACUGAGACACGGCCCAGACUCCUACGGGAGGCAGCAGUGGGGAAUUUUGGACAAUGGGCGCAAGCCUGAUCCAGCCAUGCCGCGUGCGGGAAGAAGGCCUUCGGGUUGUAAACCGCUUUUGUCAGGGAAGAAAAGGUUCUGGCUAAUACCUGGGACUCAUGACGGUACCUGAAGAAUAAGCACCGGCUAACUACGUGCCAGCAGCCGCGGUAAUACGUAGGGUGCAAGCGUUAAUCGGAAUUACUGGGCGUAAAGCGUGCGCAGGCGGUUAUGCAAGACAGAGGUGAAAUCCCCGGGCUCAACCUGGGAACUGCCUUUGUGACUGCAUGGCUAGAGUACGGUAGAGGGGGAUGGAAUUCCGCGUGUAGCAGUGAAAUGCGUAGAUAUGCGGAGGAACACCGAUGGCGAAGGCAAUCCCCUGGACCUGUACUGACGCUCAUGCACGAAAGCGUG
rnacentral:rRNA from 1 species